AGAGUUUGAUCCUGGCUCAGAAUGAACGCUGGCGGCGUGCCUAACACAUGCAAGUCGGAUGUGCCGCAAGGUGCAUGGCAGACGGGUGAGUAACGCGUGGGGAAUCUACCUCUUUGUGGGGAAUAACGCUCCGAAAGGAGUGGUAAUACCGCAUGAGAUCCAUGGCUGGGAUGCUGUGGAUGAAACCUGGGGACCGCAAGGCCUGGGGCAAGGAGAGGAUCCUGCGUCUGAUUAGCUAGUUGGUGAGGUAAUGGCCCACCAAGGCGACGAUCAGUAGCCGGCCUGAGAGGGUGAUCGGCCACACUGGAACUGAGACACGGUCCAGACUCCUACGGGAGGCGGCAGUGGGGAAUUUUGCGCAAUGGGCGAGAGCCUGACGCAGC
rnacentral:rRNA from 1 species